rnacentral:lncRNA from 1 species
AAAGGGAAAGAACGAAAAACUUAGUGCAGACAACCAAGAGUCAGGCAGCCCAGUAGCUACAGGUCUUGCUCCAAGCUUGGAUGUGGGUCAGAGGCAGCUAACUCCGGAUCGCCUUCAUGACACCGAGUCUAGGCAAGAUCCCAGGGAAGACGUGGCAAGGGAAACGGAACUUGCUGUCACAGCACCCAGUACUCCUGUCCUGCGUCGAAGUACCAGAAUUCGACGACCAGUAUCGCGCUACUCAUCUUAAACAAAUCGUUUGUAUCCAUAAAUAAAGGGGGGAGGGAUGUGAUAAGAUUAGUU